rnacentral:rRNA from 1 species
AGCGAACGCUGGCGGCAGGCUUAACACAUGCAAGUCGAACGGACCCUUCGGGGUUAGUGGCGGACGGGUGAGUAACACGUGGGAACGUGCCCUUCGGUUCGGAAUAACUCAGGGAAACUUGAGCUAAUACCGGAUACGCCCUUUUGGGGAAGGUUUACUGCCGAAGGAUCGGCCCGCGUCUGAUUAGCUAGUUGGUGGGGUAAUGGCCUACCAAGGCGACGAUCAGUAGCUGGUCUGAGAGGAUGAUCAGCCACACUGGGACUGAGACACGGCCCAGACUCCUACGGGAGGCAGCAGUGGGGAAUCUUGCACAAUGGGGGAACCCUGAUGCAGCGACGCCGCGUGAGCGAUGAAGCCC